CCUACGGGAGGCAGCAGUGAGGAAUAUUGGUCAAUGGUCGGGAGACUGAACCAGCCAAGCCGCGUGAGGGAUGACGGUACAGAGUAUCGUAAACCUCUUUUGUCAGGGAACAAUGGCGGGGACGCGUCCCCGGAUGAGUGUACCUGAAAAAAAAGCAUCCGCUAACUACGUUCCCGAAGCCGCGGUAAAACGGAGGAUGCGAGCGUUAUCCGGAUUUAUUGGGUUUAAAGGGUGCGCAGGCGGUCUGUUAAGUCAGCGGUAAAAGCCCGGGGCUCAACCCCGGCCCGCCGUUGAAACUGGCAGUCUCGAGUUGGAGAGAAGUAUGCGGAAUGCGCGGUGUAGCGGUGAAAUGCAUAGAUAUCGCGCAGAACUCCGAUUGCGAAGGCAGCAUGCCGGCUCCACACUGACGCUGAGGCACGAAAGCGUGGGUAUCGAACAGGAUUAGAUACCCCUGUAGUC
rnacentral:rRNA from 1 species